rnacentral:rRNA from 1 species
AUUGAACGCUGGCGGCAGGCCUAACACAUGCAAGUCGAACGAGUGGCGGACGGGCGAGUAAUGUCUGGGAACCUGCCCGAUGGAGGGGGAUAACUACUGGAAACGGUAGCUACUACCGCAUACCAUCGGAUGUGCCCUCGUGGUAGUAGCUAGUAGGGGUGGUAACGGCUCACCUAGGCGACGAUCCCUAGCUGGUCUGAGAGGCUGACCAGCCACACUGGGACUGAGACACGGUCCAGACUCCUACGGGAGGCAGCAGUGGGGAAGAUUGGACAAUGGGCGAAAGCCUGAUGCAGCAAUGCCGCGUGUAUGAAGAAGGCCUUCGGGUUGUAAAGUACUUUCGGCGGGGAGGCGUUACCCGCAGAAGAAGCACCGGCUAACUCCGUGCCAGCAGCCGCGGUAAUUC